rfam:Ixodes scapularis strain Wikel colony gcontig_1107729212686, whole genome shotgun sequence.
ACUCUGGUUAGCUUAGUUGGUAGAGCCCUCCACUGGAAAUGGAGGUGUCCCGGGAUCGAUACCCGACCACACUC